rnacentral:tRNA from 2 species
GGAGGGUUGGCCGAGUGGUUUAUGGCGCACGCCUCGAAAGCGUGUGGGCGAAAGUCCGCAGAGGUUCAAAUCCUCUACCCUCCGCCA